GCACCGGCAGAACACAGAUGCAAAUACUAAAAUUGGAACGAUAUGGAGAAGAUUAGCAUGGCCCCUGCUCAAGGAUGACAUGGAAAUUCAUGAAGAAUUCCAUACUUAG
ensembl:snRNA U6 U6 spliceosomal RNA